GACGAACGCUGGCGGCGUGCUUAACACAUGCAAGUCGAACGCUGAAGCUUGGUGCUUGCACUGGGUGGAUGAGUGGCGAACGGGUGAGUUAUACGUGAGUAACCUGCCCUUGACUCUGGGAUAAGCCUGGGAAACUGGGUCUAAUACUGGAUACGACAUGCCACUGCAUGGUGGUGUGUGGAAAGGGUUUUACUGGUUUUGGAUGGGCUCACGGCCUAUCAGCUUGUUGGUGGGGUAAUGGCCUACCAAGGCGACGACGGGUAGCCGGCCUGAGAGGGUGACCGGCCACACUGGGACUGAGACACGGCCCAGACUCCUACGGGAGGCAGCAGUGGGGAAUAUUGCACAAUGGGCGGAAGCCUGAUGCAGCGACGCCGCGUGAGGGAUGACGGCCUUCGGGUUGUAAACCUCUUUCAGCACGGAAGAAGCGAGAGUGACGGUACGUGCAGAAGAAACGCCGGCUAACUACGUG
rnacentral:rRNA from 1 species